rnacentral:rRNA from 1 species
GACGAACGCGGCGGCGUGCUUAACACAUGCAAGUCGAACGGGAACCUUUAUUUCGGUAAGGGUGAGAGUGGCAAACGGGUGAGUAACACGUAGGCAACCUGCCGACAGGAUGGGGACAACAUUCCGAAAGGAAUGCUAAUACCGAAUGGAGUCCGGGGAUGGCAUCAUCCCUGGAUAAAAGAUGGCCUCUGAAUAUGCUAUCGCCUGUCGAUGGGCCUGCGUCUGAUUAGCCAGUUGGCGGGGUAACGGCCCACCAAAGCGACGAUCAGUAGCCGGUCUGAGAGGAUGAACGGCCACAUUGGGACUGAGACACGGCCCAGACUCCUACGGGAGGCAGCAGUGGGGAAUCUUCCACAAUGGGCGAAAGCCUGAUGGAGCAACGCCGCGUGAGUGAAGAAGGUCUUCGGAUCGUAAAGCUCUGUUGCACGGGACGAAAAACCCGAGC